rnacentral:rRNA from 1 species
UUCCGGUUGAUCCCGCCGGACCUGACUGCUAUCGGAUUGAUACUAAGCCAUGCGAGUCAUUGUAGUAAUACAAGGCAGACGGCUCAGUAACGCGUAGUCAACCUACCCUGUGGACGGGGAUAACCUCGGGAAACUGAGAAUAAUACCCGAUAGAACAUUAUGCCUGGAAUGGUUUAUGUUUCAAAUAAUUUAUUGCCGUAGGAUGGGACUGCGUCCUAUCAGUUUGUUGGUGAGGUAAUGGCCCACCAAGACUAUUACAGGUACGGGCUCUGAGAGGAGUAGCCCGGAGAUGGGUACUGAGACACGGACCCAGGCCCUAUGGGGCGCAGCAGGCGAGAAAACUUUGCAAUGUGCGAAAGCACGACAAGGUUAAUCCGAGUGGUUUCUGCUAAAGGAACCUUUUGUCAGUCCUAGAAACACUGAUGAAUAAGGGGUGGGCAAGUUCUGGUGUCAGCCGCCGCGGUAAAACCAGCACCUCAAGUGGUCAGGAUGAUUAUUGGGCCUAAAGCAUCCGUAGCCUGCUUUGUAAGUUUUCGGUUAAAUCCAUACGCUCAACGUAUGGGCUGCCGGGAAUACUGCAAAGCUAGGGAGUGGGAGAGGUAGACGGUACUCGGUAGGAAGGGGUAAAAUCCUUUGAUCUAUUGAUGACCACCUGUGGCGAAGGCGGUCUACCAGAACACGUCCGACGGUGAGGGAUGAAAGCUGGGGGAGCAAACCGGAUUAGAUACCCGGGUAGUCCCAGCUGUAAACUAUGCAAACUCAGUGAUGCAUUGGCUUGAUGCCAAUGCAGUGCUGCAGGGAAGCCGUUAAGUUUGCCGCCUGGGAAGUACGUACGCAAGUAUGAAACUUAAAGGAAUUGGCGGGGGAGCACCACAAGGGGUGAAGCCUGCGGUUCAAUUGGAGUCAACGCCGGGAAUCC